UUUUUCCUUGUACAUAAAAAUUAUAAUAAUAAUAAUAAUAAUAAUAAAAAUCAUUAUCAUCAUCAUCAUCAUCAUCAUCAUCAUCAUCAUCAUCAUCAUCAUCAUCAUCAUCAUCAUCAUCAUCAUCAUCAUCAUCAUCAUCAUCAUCAUCAUCACCACCAUCACCACCACCACCACCACCACCAUCAUCCUCCUUCCCCUCCUCCUCCUCCUCAUCAUCAUCAUCGUCGUCGUCGUCUUCAUCAUCACCUUCUCCAUCAUCAUCAUCACCAUCAUCAUCAUCAUCAUCAUCACAAGAAACACCAGCGGUUUGUAUAUUUGGAUUAUUGUUUAUUGAUGAGGAACAUGACAAUCACUAUUUAUUUAAUACAGAUACAAAUACAGAAAAAUGUGUGCAAAUUAUGUAUUACUUGCAAGAAUGCAUUAUUUAUAUAUUUACAUAAAAUGCACAAACAAGGUUUAUAUGAAGUAGCUGGAGUGCUCAUCGACGACGUCACAAACCGAAUGUGCUGCGGUUUGCUGGUUGUCCAGGCCAAUAUCCAGAAAACCAAUUUGUCGCAAAGAUAGACUUGAGCUCGAAACAGUACUUUAGGAACUGAUCGGUCGUGUAUUCAACUAAUCAGCAAUAAUACAUGGAGUCCAUUCAACUGUUCGGAACCUAGAGAUGCGAACACCGUCUACGCAUGUGAGCUAAAAUAUUCGGCGAACUGGCCUGUUGGAUUUUACGAACAUAUUACGUGGACCGAACAUGCAAACACAUCUUCUGAAAUACCGGAACAUACAACAAAAGGUUCGGCCUUCAUUCCUCGUCAGUGGUGUCGGGUGGUUCGGCGACUGAUUGAGCGUCACCUGCCUCCAUACGACCUCUAGUGUCUGGCGGUGUUGCAUCAGGAUCAGGAGCUAAAACUAUCGCAAAACCUCCUCCAGACCAUGUCAGUGUUACAUCUGGGCUGGCUUCGCAUUCCGAAGCCCUUGUUCAACACCAAACUACUGCAACUGUUAAGGAAACUUCAAGUGAAGGAAAUCAAAACGUGGCAUGUCAGUUCAACGUCCAGGUCAUCUUGCUCAUGAUAUUGACGACAAUGCCGACGGUGUGCUUAUAAGCAGUCAUGUUCAAGGUUUAUUGCCGGACUUUGCGAUUCAUUUCGUCCAUGUGUAUAAAAAGAACAUUUGAUUUACACCUUCGAGGUUUUAUUUUGUAAAAGCUUAUAGUUA